AACGCACAUUGCGCCCUAUGGUAUUCCGUAGGGCAUGCCUGUUCGAGCGUCAUUCAAACCUUCAAGCUCUGCUUGGUGUUGGGCGUCUGUCCUGCCUCACGGCGCGGACUCGCCUCAAAUCUAUUGGCGGCCGGCACGUUGGCUUCGAGCGCAGCAGAAACGCGAACUCGAGCCCGACGGAUCGGCUCCCAGAAGCUACCCCCAUGAAUUUGACCUCGGAUCAGGUAGGGAUACCCGCUGAACUUAA
rnacentral:misc_RNA from 1 species